CGUAGAAGACUAGUGUUAAUCAUCUUUAUUAGGUUUAAGGGUACCUAGACGGUAAUUAAACUCUAAAUGAGUACUUGUUACUAGAGUUUAUGUAAGGAGGAAGAAUUUCUGGAGUAGUGAUUUAAUAUGAAUAAUCUCAGAGAGACUGGUAACGGCGAAGGCAUCCUUCUAUGUAAAACUGACGUUGAGGGACGAAGGCUUGGGUAGCGAGAAGGAUU
rnacentral:rRNA from 1 species